rnacentral:tRNA from 1 species
GCAUUUGUGGUGUAAUUAGAAGAAUACUUGACGUGUAAUCAAGGGGUCCACGGUUCGAAUCCUGGCGAGGGCA